rnacentral:lncRNA from 1 species
AUUAAUUGUCCCUCCAGACUGAUUUGCAAACAGAGAUCAAGGACAGGUUUCGGUCAGUUAUGUAUUGGAAAACACAUUCUGGACAUAAAGAAGAAUUAAGAACCAUGCAUCUGUCAAAAAUACAAGAAAAAAAAUGGUUGUAGAGUAAUUAAUGACUGAGGUGCCACCUAGUAUGUGAAGAAUGUGAAGGUACAUGAGCAAUAUCAGAUGAUGCUGGAAGGUGUUUGGAAGAAACUUCAAUUAUCAAAUCAAGGCAUGAGGAGGAAAUAAAUGAGUUAAUGAGUCAGAGAGGAAGCUAGAACUGACAAUUGUGAUCAAGGAAAACACCAAAAGAAGUAUUGUAAUUCAAAGAACAAUGGAAUAAUUUUAGAAAAAGGUAAAGAAAUUACAAA